UAAGACUCGCAGGACACUAACCCGCAUCUCCUAAAUGCAACUCAGACGCUUUAAUUAAGCUAGAGCCUU
rnacentral:tRNA from 1 species